UCAGUACAUGAUAGCCUUAAUCUCAGGACU
rnacentral:piRNA from 1 species